rnacentral:lncRNA from 1 species
AAAAAUAGAUAGGUGCAUUUAUUAUCCCACUAAAGUGGCAGUCUGGUAGUCUUCCAUGUGAGUAAUAAUAAAGACACGGGUCGGUUCGGACAUCCAUGGAUCAAUAUUUAUAAACCGGACCCGUCCGCCCCUAUCCACCUAAAACCGCUAUUUGCAGUCUGGCAGCCCACGGAUCAGUUUUAAACCGACCCGGUUCGGUUUUUGACAAUGGUUUUUUGCGGUUUGAGCUGGGUUUUCGGUUUUUGUCCACCCCUA